GGCUGGUUUACCAUGACUUCUUCAGAGACCCUCUCAACUGGUCAAAAACUGAGGAGGCCUUUCCUGGGGGGCCGCUGGGAGCCUUGAGAGCCAUGUGCAAGAGGACAGAUCCUGUUCCUGUCACCAUUGCUCUCGAUUCACUCAGCUGGCUGCUACUUCGCCUUCCUUGCACCACACUCUGCCAGGCCCUGCAUGCUGUGAGCCAUCAGGACUCUUGUCCUGACUCAGUGGUUCUCCAUCCUUCCGGACUUCAGCCUGGAUCUCCAAGAGGGGCUCUCUGUAGAGUCCCAGCCCUACUCCGAUCCUCAUAUACCCCCGGUGGAUCCCACAACUCAUUUGACCUUUAACCUUCACCUGUCCAAGAAAGAGAGAGAAGCCAGAGAUAGCCUGAUCCUGCCCUUCCAGUUCAGUUCUGAAAAGUAAGGUUGGGACCUGGGUACGUGGAUCCCUGAGUAGAGCCCAGCAUCUGGGCCGUGGAGAGGUGGGGCAACAGGUUAUUGAUUAACCUGACUUUAUAGGGACUGAAGUCCACCUCCAGAGACAAGUCCAAGUUCUUGAUCCACCCAUUCCCCCUAUAAUGGCAGAGGACCUUUAUGUCUCUUUUCUCUCCCUUAGACCCUUGGGUCACAGCUCCAGUUGUCCCCAGAGCACCCUGGGCCUGGGCUGAGCCAGACCAGACCCUUGGGAGGUGGCGCUAUCCCUAGGCAGUGGUGCUAGGAGGACAGAAGGCUAUAUGGGCGUGGCAAAGGCUGGUUAACAAGGGCUUAGUACAUGCCUGCUGUUCUGUGCCCAGUAUGUGGGCGGAUGAAGCAAGACUACAAGAUCCUUGCCCUCAAGCUGCUAGGAACUUCCGGUUUU
rnacentral:lncRNA from 1 species